UCAUGUUUUUCUUUGAAUAAGCCCCAAACAAUUAAUUAAAUCGGCCCAAACAAUUUAAUUAAAUCGGCCCAAGAGUUUAAUUAAAUCGGCCCAAGAAGGAGCCCAAUAUUUUCGGCCCAAACCCGGCUCAAACCCGGCCCAAACCCGGCUGAAACCCGGCCCAAACCCGGCUCAAAUCCUAACCUAAAUAUACACACACACUAAAUACACUCAAACACACACAUAACACCAAAGCUGCGCCUCUUCUUUCUUCUUUCUCACUCUCUCUCUCGGACCUCUCUCUCUCCCGACUCUCUCUCUGUUUUCUGCCGCCACCGCUGCCGUUCAACGGCGCCGUCGCCGCCGGCGAGCGGCGCGGCCUCUCCUUCUCUCUCCCCGAACUCUUCCCCCCCUCUUCUCCUCUAUCUCUCUCUCUGUCUCGGCCGCUGGAAAGGCACAGCAGCGCCACCACGCCGCCGCUCCGUCGCCUCCGCCUCUCCUCCAUGGCAGAUCCGCCGUCGCUGCAACUGGAUCUCGGCGAGCACCGUCGACUGGAAGCCGCUGGAGCUGCUGUUGCUUCUCGCCCGGAGUCGCCGCUGAAAGUCAGCCGCACGCCGCCGCCUUGGGUGUUCACGGCCAUCGCCUGGCCGUGGAAGAGCACGGCCGCCGCCGUUCGUCGUCGGAUUCGCUGUGAGGAGCCGAGCACCGUCUCACAAAGAUCGGAGACAACGGCAGGUUCACCGCCGCCGCUCCGUCGCCGGCGACGAGCCACCGCGGCUGCCGCCUCCCUCUGAUUUCGACUCACACACACAGUAGGUUCAAGCCACAAUUUCAGUCAUAGCAUAGAUGAUUUGAGCAAAAUUCAUACAUAGUCAGGAAAUAAUUAUCUCUAUAUGUCCAUGUAAAAAGUCAAGAUCUUUAAUUGUUCUUCAAUUAAUCACACUGCAUAUAAACACCUCACUUGCAAAUUCAGCCUUUCGAACAUCAAUGUUAAAACGAGUUUAUACACAAGUUGUAUGCACAUAAAGAGGAAUAUGAGCAGUUGUAUGCGUUGGUGGUUCUUUUGGAG